UACGAAGGGGGCUAGCGUUGUUCGGAAUUACUGGGCGUAAAGGGCGCGUAGGCGGUCUUUUAAGUCAGGCGUGAAAGCCCCGGGCUCAACCUGGGAAAUGCGCUUGAUACUGGAAGGCUAGAGUUCCGGAGAGGAUGGUGGAAUUCCCAGUGUAGAGGUGAAAUUCGUAGAUAUUGGGAAGAACACCGGUGGCGAAGGCGGCCAUCUGGACGGACACUGACGCUGAGGCGCGAAAGCGUGGGGAGCAAACAGG
rnacentral:rRNA from 1 species